rnacentral:rRNA from 1 species
GAGACAGAGCUUUCCCUUCGGGGACAAAGUGACAGGUGGUGCAUGGUUGUCGUCAGCUCGUGUCGUGAGAUGUUGGGUUAAGUCCCGCAACGAGCGCAACCCUUGAUUUUAGUUGCCAGCAUUUAGUUGGGCACUCUAAAGUGACUGCCGGUGCAAGCCGGAGGAAGGUGGGGAUGACGUCAAAUCAUCAUGCCCCUUAUGACCUGGGCUACACACGUGCUACAAUGGAUAGUACAAAGGGUCGCGAAGCCGCGAGGUGGAGCUAAUCCCAUAAAACUAUUCUCAGUUCGGAUUGUAGGCUGCAACUCGCCUACAUGAAGCCGGAAUCGCUAGUAAUCGUGGAUCAGCAUGCCACGGUGAAUACGUUCCCGGGCCUUGUACACACCGCCCGUCACACCACGAGAGUUUGUAACACCCGAAGUCGGUAGGGUAACCUUUAUGGAGCCAGCCGCCGAAGGUGGGACAGAUAAUUGGGGUGAAGUCGUAACAAGGUAGCCGUAUCGGAAGGUGCGGCUGGAUCACCUCCUUU